rnacentral:rRNA from 1 species
AUUGAACGCUGGCGGCAUGCCUUACACAUGCAAGUCGAACGGUAACGGGUCCUUCGGGAUGCCGACGAGUGGCGAACGGGUGAGUAAUAUAUCGGAACGUGCCCAGUAGUGGGGGAUAACUGCUCGAAAGAGCAGCUAAUACCGCAUACGACCUGAGGGUGAACGGGGGGGAUCGCAAGACCUCUCGCUAUUGGAGCGGCCGAUAUCAGAUUAGCUAGUUGGUGGGGUAAAGGCCUACCAAGGCAACGAUCUGUAGUUGGUCUGAGAGGCCGACCAGCCACACUGGGACUGAGAUACGGCCCAGACUCCUACGGGAGGCAGCAGUGGGGAAUUUUGGACAAUGGGCGCAAGCCUGAUCCAGCAAUGCCGCGUGCAGGAAGAAGGCCUUCGGGUUGUAAACUGCUUUUGUCAGGGAAGAAAUCUUCUGGGCUAAUACCCCGGGAGGAUGACGGUACCUGAAGAAUAAGCACCGGCUAACUACGUGCCAGCAGCCGCAGUAA